rnacentral:lncRNA from 1 species
AGGGAGGCAAUUGGAUUCUCUUGCUGCUAUGAUGCACUGUAAAUAUACUGUUUGUCAUUUCAGCAGGGGGCUUCUUCAGUAGGCUAUAACGAUUCAUAACUUAUAAUUUUCUAGUUAAUAUAAACAUAUGGAUAUGGAUAGUAGUGCAUCCUUUCGCCCAUGCCGUCUAUUUUAGUAAGGAUGUAUAUGCCUCCGGCUCUGCUGUUUGGCCGCUGUUAAAUUUAACAACAGGUUUGUGAUGCCCGAUUUUUGAAUUUAACGGCAGAUCCUAUGCCUCUGUUGUUAAAUUUACAACUGUUUCUACUUUGUUGCUGUAGAAAUUGAGGCGGGAAUUGUAAUAGAUUUAAUGGCGUUUAAGGUUCG